UGAAUACGAGACGCUAAGGCGUCGAAGUAGUGUAUGUCAUACUUCCAAGAAAAGCUUGCACUGUCAUAGAUAAAAAACGCCUGUACCAUAACCGACACAGGUGGGUAGGUAGAGUAUACUAAGGGGCGCGAGAUAACUCUCUCUAAGGAACUCGGCAAAAUAACUCCGUAACUUCGGGAGAAGGAGUGCCUUAUUCGUAAGGUUGCAAUAACAAGAUCCAAGCAACUGUUUAUCAAAAACACAGGUCUCCGCUAAGUCGUAAGACGAUGUAUGGGGGCUGACGCCUGCCCAGUGCCAGAAGGUUAAAGAAGUUGGUUAGCAAUUGCGAAGCUGAUAACUGAAGCCCUGGUGAACGGCGGCCGUAACAAUAACGGUCCUAAGGUAGCGAAAUUCCUUGUCGGGUAAGUUCCGACCCGCACGAAAGGCGUAAUGAUUUGGAUACUGUCUCGGAGAGGGGCUCGGUGAAAUAGACUUGUCUGUGAAGAUGCGGACUACCUGCACCAGGACAGAAAGACCCUAUGAAGCUUUACUGUAACUUGAAAUUGAAAUUGGACUUUAUUCGCGCAGUAUAGGUGGGAGGCGUUGAUUAUAAUCUUGUGGGAUUAUUGGAGCCAUCAGUGAGAUACCACUCUUGUAAUGUUAGAUUUCUAACUUUGAAUCAUUAUCUGGUCAAAGAACAGUUUCAGGCGGGCAGUUUGACUGGGGCGGUCGCCUCCUAAACGGUAACGGAGGCGUACAAAGGUUUCCUCUGAACGGUUAGAAAUCGUAUCUAGAGUGUAAAGGCAUAAGGAAGCUUGACUGUGAGACCUACAAGUCGAGCAGGGACGAAAGUCGGUCUUAGUGAUCUGACGGUACUGAGUGGAAAGGCCGUCACUCAACGGAUAAAAGUUACUCUAGGAUAACAGGCUGAUCUCCCCCAAGAGUUCACAUCGACGGGGAGGUUUGGCACCUCGAUGUCGGCUCAUCGCAUCCUGGGGCGGUAGUACGUCCCAAGGGUUGGGCUGUUCGCCCAUGAAAGCGGUACGCGAGCUGGGUUCAGAACGUCGUGAGACAGUUCGGUCCAUAUCCGGUGUAGGCGUUAGAAUAUUGAGAGGAGCCUUCUUUAGUACGAGAGGACCGAGAAGGACAUACCUCUGGUGUACCAGUUAUCGUGCCAACGGUAAACGCUGGGUAGCUAUGUAUGGAGUGGAUAACCGCUGAAAGCAUCUAAGUAGGAAGCCCACCUCAAGAUAAGUAUUCUCAU
rnacentral:rRNA from 1 species